AGGGUUCGAUCAUGGCUCAGGAUGAACGCUAGCUACAGGCUUAACACAUGCAAGUCGAGGGGCAUCAGGGUAGCAAUACCGCUGGCGACCGGCGCACGGGUGAGUAACACGUAUCCAACCUGCCGAUAACUCAGGGAUAACCCUUCGAAAGAAGGACUAAUAUCUGAUAGUAUAACGAAAAGGCAUCUUUUUGUUAUUAAAGAAUUUCGGUUAUCGAUGGGGAUGCGUUCCAUUAGCUUGUUGGCGGGGUAACGGCCCACCAAGGCAUCGAUGGAUAGGGGUUCUGAGAGGAAGGUCCCCCACAUUGGAACUGAGACACGGUCCAA
rnacentral:rRNA from 1 species